CCUACGGGGGGCAGCAGUGGGGAAUAUUGCACAAUGGGCGCAAGCCUGAUGCAGCCAUGCCGCGUGUGUGAAGAAGGCCUUCGGGUUGUAAAGCACUUUCAGCGGGGAGGAAGGCGGUGAGGUUAAUAACCUCAUCGAUUGACGUUACCCGCAGAAGAAGCACCGGCUAACUCCGUGCCAGCAGCCGCGGUAAUACGGAGGGUGCAAGCGCUAAUCGGAAUUACUGGGCGUAAAGCGCACGCAGGCGGUCUGUCAAGUCGGAUGUGAAAUCCCCGGGCUCAACCUGGGAACUGCAUUCGAAACUGGCAGGCUAGAGUCUUGUAGAGGGGGGUAGAAUUCCAGGUGUAGCGGUGAAAUGCGUAGAGAUCUGGAGGAAUACCGGUGGCGAAGGCGGCCCCCUGGACAAAGACUGACGCUCAGGUGCGAAAGCGUGGGGAGCAAACAGGAUUAGAUACCCUUGUAGUC
rnacentral:rRNA from 1 species